GCAGAAACAAACAUGGCAGUACCAAGAUGCCCCUAGAAUUUUAUUGGGGUGUUUAAUACAGGCCUUCAACAGAGAAUAGUUGAAAAAAUAACUGUUAAACAGAUUAUAAAUUGUACAUAUUAGGCAGUUUUGUGCAGAACUCCUACAGCUUCUUCCUUGCUUUGGGACGCAUCUUUCCCAUCUUUGAAUACAAGAAAUUCCAUCAUCUCCACCCGGAAGAAAAUGAAGCUUCCACAUAAAUGUGUGAUGCAAGAACCGAAGUCUGUGCCAACCACACACUGCCAUGCUGGUCCAUAACAUUUAUCAAAAUUCUGUACAACACAGCAUCUUAUUAUUAUGACAGUUCAAUAAGGCCUGAUUCAUUGCCUCCAGUGGACAAGAUAAAAACUUUUCACUGCUGAUCAAUGGAUAAUUUUUAUCUUGCCUCCUGUGGGUAGAUCAAUUCCGAUAGUUCAAUUACCAUCCUUGACUCAAAAUUCUCACUACAAAGUAGGUCUUUCAAGAACUAUACGAGACUCAAAAAUAGUUGUCGUAGUCCGUGGUUGAUUUAACAAAACUGAAGGUAGCUCCUGGUCUCCUCAUCCACGGUGAGGAUCCGAGCCUGUACAAAGAAAGUGCCUAAUAUGCUUAUAAAGCUUAAUGGGAAGUGGUAGUUAUAAACCCAUUGUGAUUAUUUUGUCUUGUUGGUAAAGUGAAAACACAAGUUCGGAAGUUCCACACCUACUAGACAAGGGGAUGGUCCUCAGUUUGAAGGAAUUGAGCUACUCUUCUUAACAUAUUAAUCUUCUGGGAAGGAACCCAAAUCCCAACAGUUUUGGGCUGUUUCAUUGCUCAAUGGUGACAAAAUUAACGAGUUUGUAUGAACAUUAGACGAGAACUUCAUGCAGUCAUAUCCAAUACUGUGAGUUUUAGACGAUAAUAAAUACCUGUUUAAUAUAAUGAGCAAUGGAUUGAUAAUCAGCAACUUCAUGUAGAUCCAGAGCUUGAUAAGCCAACUCCAUAGCAUGGCUCUUCAUUGUAUCUGGCAUGUCUGUUUCGCCAACUAUUGCUUUUCCUUCCAACAUUUUCAGUGGUAAUGUUCUUUUAGAUUUUUUAUGCUCUGGUUUAUGGAAUAUGCAAAAUAAUAUUUUGGGGACAUUGAACAUGUGUAAAUGGUUUCUUUAAAUAUUUUGAUUUCUUACCUCCACAAAAAAUCUAAUUAAGUUUUUUGGAGUCAAACCUUGAGUGACAAGUCUUGUAGUCAAAUGAGGCCAAGGCCUAGGGCAAACGAGCAGCCUUCUCAGAUUAAUGGGACAGAGUUCGAGCUUGCUUUUAAGAGGACGGGUGAAAUCGAGUAGGGAGGACAAGAAGAAGAAGAAGGAAUCUCCGAGUCAACAAGGUCAG
rnacentral:lncRNA from 1 species